AAAACUAUAGAUAAACAGGUUCAUUAUUGCAAAUUAUAAUUUGAGAAGAUACAAAAAGUAUUUUAUUUCAUAUUUAAAGUAACCUACCACAUUUAAUGGUGCAUUGAGCAACGAGUUAUACAGCGUAUCUGGAGAAAUAAGAACAAAACUUGAUGCUUUAAAAAAA